CCAUGCAGAGUAAAGAAGCAUGAUACUAGCUAUUUCUAAUCCGAAGCAUCUAAAUUUUCUUUUAAAAAAAAUAGAAGAAGAAAAGUUAAGAAAAGAAGAGAAAUAUUUCAACGGAUAUGCUAUUCUGUUGAGAUCUGUAUGUGAAGACCUAUUUAUAAUGGUUCGAUUUGUUGCAAUUGAAACUCUCCUAGAAGAAAAAAAGAUGACAGUAUAACAAUACUUCAAAUGGUAGGCAUUUAAUGUAUUUCUUAUCUUUCUCUUGUUCUUUUUUUUUUCCGAUAGUAAUAUGAUGUGUUUCUUUGCCUCCAUGCUGAACAAAAAUUGAAGGAAACUACUUCAAUCUGAACUUUUCUAAGAAAAUUAUCCUCUAGAUUGACAAAGACCAUAAGACACUUUGGAAAAACUGUGUAUCUAUCUGCCAUCAUAUUAGCUUAAAUAGCAGCUUGUGUAAUGAGGUAACCAGAUGGAACAUGAGGUUUCUCUCAAGAAAUCAUUUUUACUGCACCAAAUGAAGCCAAUGGUCAUGCAACAUUUAAACAUUAAAAGAAAAAAAAUUAGUCUUAAGGAUACUUGUAACUACCUGCUAUAAUUAAAUGACUCAUUGUGGUUUGCCCUUACAUUGGAUUGUGCCUUUUUGGUGGAAGCCAGUGUUUAAUUUGAAACUUCAUUCACCAAUAUGUCUAAUUUUUCUUUUCUGUUUGCUCUAGCAGGGCACAAUAAGGGAGGUUGAACCUGGUUGUCACACUAUCAAAUCUCAUGGAGUCCAAGUGGCAAGAGAUCACAAGCAUGAUUGGCUUAUAUUGCUGCUUCUUGUAAUGUUAGAGAUCAUUCUACUUGUCAUUCAUCCAUUUUACCGCUUUGUGGGAAAAGAUAUGAUGGAUGACCUUAAAUAUCCUUUGAAAGAUAACACAGUACCUGUGUGGGCUGUUCCAGUAAGUUUUCCUUUAUAUAGCAUGUUAAUCUUUUAACUGGGUGUUUGAAAACCAAGUGAAACUUGAAAAUAAUUCCAUUUGGUCUGACUCUGACAGAAUUUGCUCAAUUUUAUUCUAUAUUACCUGAAUAUUUGAAAUUACUUAUUUCACCUGUAUAUAAGACUAAUUUUGUGUUUUUAACGAAUUAACAUAAUGACAGGAUUUACUGACUGACUUCAUUUCACUUCCUUUUGGUAAUAAUUCCAUUUGAAAGACCAGAUUUUUGCCUUCAAAUGCUAUAGAAAUCAAAAUGAAACAAACUUCCAUUUUUUGUCCUGCUUCCUUAGUUUUAUCUGUGUUAGUUUGCUCAAGCAAGUGGAACUAACCAAGCCUUCUCUCACUUGAUUAUCAGAUCUAUGCUGUUCUGUUGCCGAUUGUCAUUUUUAUUCUAUUCUAUCUUCGUAGGAGGGAUGUAUAUGAUCUGCACCACAGCAUACUAGGUACUAUUAUAUAUAUAAAACCCCAAGGGGAUAAUUUUUUUUGCUCCUAUUUAAAGGAAGUGCCUAUGAAGGUACUGCUGACUGAUAUGAAUUCACGAAAGCAGGCCUCUUAUUUUCUGUGCUGAUCACUGCGGUUAUCACGGAUGCAAUAAAAGAUGCAGUUGGACGGCCUCGGCCAGACUUCUUUUGGCGCUGCUUUCCUGAUGGAAAAGAUGUAUGUCAAUAUCUAUUUCUUAACCCUAGUUUCUUUUCAUGCCUUGUUACUGUGAGAGGUGAAUAUCUUUUUCCUCAUAAUAGUUUGUGCAGUUGAUCUUCAAAAAUUACCAGAUUUUUGUCUUUUAGAGUCCUAAUAUCCAUGAAUAUUUGUGAAAGUUGGUCAAUCCAAAUACAGGGCUCAAGAUUUAGUACAGUAAAUUGUUAAGAUAAUCGAACUUAUUCUGCCUAAUUUUUCACUGAAUUGAUUUAAAUGUCCUGAUCAAACCUUGCCGUGGUUGCUGGAGUUCCAACUUUUUCCUUAAUUUUAAGUUAUUGUCCUAAAAUGUUGGAAUUUACUGAUCAAAACUAACAUGAUUGUUGGACUUCCUGCCUUUUUCCUUAAUUUUAAUGCAUCAUUCCAAAAAAUUGGAAUUUGAUGCUGUCCAGAACUGACUUUGCUGGAUUUUCAACCUUUUUUCCUUCACUUAAUGUACCAUUCCAAUAAAAUUUAAUAUUAGUUGCUGAUUAAAAUUGAUUCUCAAAAUUUGUCACUAUGGUUUUAUGUUAAUUUGCAUUUUUAGAUUCUUGAUUGCUGAUUCAUUUUAUUUCUCAUCCCUUCUUCAGGUGUAUGAUCAGUGGGGAGAUGUUAUAUGCCAUGGAAAGGAUAGCAUUAUAAGGGAGGGACAUAAGAGCUUCCCAAGUGGUCACACUUCGUGUAAGCUACAGUUCCUGCUAUGUGCUUAAUGUUUAGCUUCGAAUAAUAUUAGCAGAAGUUUUAAUGGACAAUAAAAGUCAAUUGAUGGAUCAAAAAUAGAAGAAAAAUACCUGAUGCUGUUAAUUUGGUACUAUUCUGGUUUACAUUUAGGAAGCACUCUCCUACAUUUAAGAGCAAACACUAAAAAAAUUUUCUCUUGGAAUCAAGAAAAAUACUUCCAAUGGGCUGACUAUACAACGCCUUCAUUUUCAAUUGUUUUUUAUUUGAGUUAGCUGCUAGUUGUGCUGUAGUGGUGUCUUCAAUGAUGGAACUCAAACUUGUAAGAGACUUCUGAUUCAUAGAAAGAAAAUGCAGAUUGAAGUGUGCUCUGUCUUUUUAGUUUACCAAAUGAAUAGUACAUGUGUUUUUCUCGUAUCUGAUGAAAUAUGAUUGCUCUGCAGGGUCCUUUGCAGGCCUGGGUUUCCUAUCAUUGUACUUAUCAGGAAAGAUUCAAGCAUUUGACCGCAAAGGGCAUGUUGCAAAACUAUGCAUUGUUUUCCUCCCUCUACUUGCUGCAUCUCUUGUUGGAGUUUCUCGGGUGGAUGACUAUUGGCACCAUUGGCAAGAUGUGUUUGCUGGAGGUCUUCUAGGUUUGUUUUAGUGCAGGCUGUCCUUUAGUCAAGUAAACUGUAAUGCUUUUUCAUUGUUUGAUCUCACCGGAUUUAUGUGAUUAUUUUUUUUCAGGGCUUGUUGUUGCAUUUUUUUGCUAUCUGCAGUUCUUUCCUCCUCCAUAUGAUAAUAAUGGUAAAAAUCUUCAUUUUCUAAUUUUCUCAUCUUCACUUGACUUCUGUUGCUCAUUGUUAAUACAUUCUUGUGAUAUCUGCCUUAAAAGAUUUCCAGAAUUCUUUUCUUUUCUUUUUUUUUUUCUUUUUCAGAUCAUUCAAUUACAUUUUAUUAACUAUGGUUUGUAAAAAUUAUGUUUCUUUUAAGAGCCAUUUCGGUUGUAUGCCAAAAGUCCAUCAACAAGAAAAUUAGGCCUUCUGUUUUGUGGGGAUGCCUUUUCUGGAAAUGGGAAAGUAGAAAAUGUGAAUAUGUUGGCACUAUGGUAGAGAACAGGUUGAACCCAAUUUUGAUUAUCCUUAUGGGAGGUUUAUUUCCAGGGGUAGUGAAAAGAAGAUCUAAAUAGAAGGAUUUAUUUGUGCAAAUUUCAUAAAGUGGGACGAGGGGUCUAGCUCCCCAUUUUGUUUAAGUAGGAAAAUAAAAUUAAUUUGAUAAAAGAGAUUGUUGCUCAUCCAAACAAUCACUUUGGCAUCUGGAUAUCCUAAGAAAAUUGAAUCAAUUCAUUGUCCAUCACACAGUGGUUUACAGCACAACAUAGAUGUUUUUACAUUUAGGAUCAACUAAAUCACCAGAUAAGAUAAUAAUGGAACCAAAAAAGAAAAUCCAGAACUUCAGAAGCAGGCCCAAAAAUUUUUGGUUUUGUUUGCUUCACUAUUUCUUAAUGUUCUAUUUAUGGGGUAUAGUUGUCAAGAAUUAAUGAUUAGUUGAUUGGUCUUAAAAUCUCUGGCUUAGCCAGCUACUAAAACCUUGAUAUCUGUAAAUGUUAAUGUUUAUCACUGUUACAAACUCAGAAGUUGAGUCAUUCUGCAAGGCGGAUUAUUAAGAAUUUUAAAAAUUAAUCAAGAAAGUAAGCAGGGGACCAUAUCAUAUGUGGAAUUUAUAAAGAGAAUCAUCAAGAUAGAAUUUGAGUGCGGGAAAGCAAGGGGGAUGCUAGAUAGAAGCAUAAGUUUUCAUUAUAGGUAGUGUUGACAACUGAAUUCUAUGCAGUAAAUUUGGCUUCAUCAAUUGUAUAGAUUUUGAGUAACGUGCUCUUCUGUUCUGCUUUAUUGCCAGUGAUUUGACUGAUAUUCCAUUAAUGAGGUACUUGUGUAUUGAUUUUGGAUAAAAUCACUUGCUGAUUUUCUGUACACAGGAUCGGGCCCCUAUGCAUACUUCAAAAUGUUAGAGGAGUUGAGGGCCAACAGAGAAGCAGCCCAUUCUGUGAAUGUGCAAGAUGCGCAAGGAAUGGAGGUUGUUUUACCUCAGCAACCUUCACGAAACAACAAAGGGUUUAUGCCAUUAUCUCUUGACCAUGAUGCUACUGAUUCUUUGGAUCAAAUGGAAGAUGGGAGGAGGUAAUGUCAUUUGUCUUGCACUUGUUUGGGUCCAUGUCCCCUGUAAUUAACUUAGGCUUGUAUUAUGUAACCGACAAUCUCCUGCAUUCACUGAAUCUUUACUUUCUGCAACUUGAAGAUGUAAAUCAAGUCCUUGCAUUGACUAAAUAUUUUACAGUUGUGGUAUCUGUAAAGAAAUGCACAUUCACUAGUAAUGUUACGAGGGACAAUCUUUUUUCAUUCUUUCCAAAAAUGCUUUGCAUGAACACUCAGAAUUACCUGUGAUGUAAAUUAUUAUAAAACAGAUGACACAAUUGCACAACCAUACACCUAUGUCGAUUGGAGCCAACUGCCAGAGGAACUACUGGAGUUGAACAGAUAUAAUUAGGUUCAGAGCAGUAUGUUCGUCAUGGGGCUUGGUUGCCUCCAAUGCAAGAUCUCAACUAUUCAAGCCUCUCAGUCCAAUGCUGCUGUUGCCUUCUAACAAAGAUGAUGAAGUUCACCACCUCUUCGACUUCUCCGUGAACAAGGCUUUUUGGAUUCCACUCCCGGAGGUUUACGGUAAGUGGUGUUGCCAUUCGUGGAAUGGAUGGUUAGUAACAAUAACGUGUUCUCCUCCCUACCCAAUAGAGUUCUUUAAUCCUAUGUCGAGGGCACAAAUCCAGUUGCCUCUCCCAGAGACGUUUCAAGAUCCUCCAGCUGAUGUAGAUGAUGCACCAAUUGAGAGCUUCAUAUACAAAGCCAUACCUUCUUCAACUCCUUCAGAUCCCAAUUGUGUUACCAUGAAGAAAGUUGGCAUUCUGUAAAUCCAAGGGUUACAAAGCGAGUACAAUAAUUGUGAUGAUAUCAUAUAUUACAAGAACUAUUUUAUUACUGUUGGGCCUUUGGGUGUAUUUCAAGUAGGGAUGGCAACAGGGCGGGUUUUUUCGGGUGCCCGUCCCGUCUUGCCCCUAAUGGUACGGGGUUUAAAUUUAAUAAACGGGUUUGGAACGGGUAUGUAAUUUUUUUUAAAACCCGGAGCGGAUUCAGGUAUUGCCUCAUCUUGCCCGGUCCUGCCCCGAUUAUAUAUAAAAUUAAAAUUAGUUUAAAUUUUAAAAUAAUUUAAUUUAAAAUUUUAUUUUACUAUUUUAAUAUAUAGAUAAUAAAAAAAAUUUAAUAAAAUAAGUUAUAAAAAAUAUAAUAAUUUUAUUAUUUAUAAAAUAUAUUUAUUUUAAUGUAAUUAAAAAAUUUUAAAGUAAUAAUAAAAAAAUAAAAAUAAAAAAGCUAAAUGGGGCGGGGCGGGACGGGUAUGGGAAAUUCUCAUACCCCGUCCCGCCCCGUUUAAUUUUUAAAACGGGAUGGGGAUGAUAAUUAUUUUUAAUAAACGGGGCAGGGUUGGGAUGGGGACGACCCGUCUCGAACCCGCCCCAUUGUCAUUCCUAAUUUCAAUUUGACAUUGGUCCUGUGCAUAAGGUCAUAACGCUUGCACCACCUAUUGUGAUGGGAUGCGUCAAAUCGAAAGUAUUUGUUGAUCUAGAGAUCAUUUACUAGUCCUAUGAUACUUGGAUUGGGAAGACGAGAAUGAGAACAACUCUCUUCACUACACACCAAAAUUUGAGGUAUUCAAAUUAUAUUUAAAAAAUUUGGUAUGGAAUGAAUUAAAUAGCUUGGGUGAUAACGCAUUAUUCAUGGGUCAUAACCAAACUAUUUUAAUAUCUACAAAAGACUAUGAUGAAUUUAAACCAUACUGUAUCUUCUUUGUUGAUGAUUAUAGAGAUUAUUUUGAAAAAACUAUCAGAUGCCAUGAUGUAGGAGUUUUUAACCUAAAGGCUCAUGUGUUGUGAACCGAUGUUUCAGUUUAGUCAUAUAUGGUUAUCUCCAAAUACUAUUGUACUUGCGCCUCUAUUAACAUGAAUCAAUGAACUUUUAUGAGAUUAGCAACACAAUAGUAAUAAUAUUAAUUCAUCUACAUAAUGAUCCUAUUAACUUCUAAACAUCUAGAUUAUGCCAAAAAAUGAUAUAUCAAAGUAACAUAAUUAUAAUUAUUAAUAUAUUAUAAUUAUGGUGAUAUUAUAUAUGACAAGAACCAUUUUUAUGUUUGCACCAUCCUUUUGAUGGCAUGCAUGAAGCAAAAAAUAUUCAUUGGAGUCAUUCUGAGAUCUUUUACUAAUAUUAAGAUACUUGGAUUGGGAAGAUGAGAUGAUGAGAAUGAGGGUGAUUCUCCAACUUGUCAAAGGGAAAUGAAAGGAAAUUCAAAAGUGAUGCCAUCAGAUAUUUAUGAGCGCCUCUAACAUAUGGUCCAGAAUAAUUCUUACCAUUCCACCAUCCCAUCCUAAUUGCUCUGAUCGAAGCAUUCAAGAUGCCUGAAUGUAAGUUUAGAAAAUGACCCAAUGAGUUGUUAAUUGUAAAAUGUAAUUAUUCUGAAAUAUUUAAAUCAAACUGAUCAGACUCAGACUUGUAACUUGUUUUUGUCGAGCAAAUAAAAUCUCUUUCAUUGUGUUAAAAUUCUAUCAAAGAAAUGAUCACUCGACAAUAAUUGACCUUAAGUAUGUGGUGGGUGGGCUAAAAUCUUGCUGAAAUUGAAAAACACCCAACGAUGAUGUGAUUCGCAUUGAUUACCCCAAGGAUCACUCACCAAGUUGGCCCUCCACCAGUCCACUUUUACCAGGCAGCCGCCUAGUCUUUGGCGUUUCCUUGUGAGUCCGUGACAACAACAUUUCAAUCAAUAACACGACGUCGUAUCAUUGGUCGCCAACCCACAACGGUCCAAAACGGCUCUGUGGAAAGGCGUGUAGGUGUAGGUUGUAGCCAACAUGAAGCCGCCAGGAUGAAAGUUAAAGGAUCGAGAGGAGACAGUCCAUCAAAACUAAGUCGCCGCCUUGACCAUCGGAUGUUUUAAUUUUCCAGGGUGUGUUUGUUAAAAUAAAAUUUGAAAUAAUGUAGUCGUUAUCUCGUCGGCGGAGCCUGCACGCAGUACCGUUAACGGUGAUCAAGGAAUAUCACCAACCGUCGUUGUAUCGUUUCAUUUCAUUGCAAACUCCCUCUCUCUCCCUAAAACCCACUUUCUCUCUAGAUUCGUGGUUCAAAAGUUCCUGACUGGAGCAAUUAAGAUAUCUUUGCGCCUGGGUCCCAUUUGGAUUCCAUUUUCGGAUGGAAAAACCCAAAUUUUCCAGAAAAUUACGUCUACAAUCUUUCCCAGGUAAGGAAGCAAGUUGCUUUCGCUUCAUUUUUCAUUUACCCACUUCCCCUCACUGCUCUUUCUUUUCGUCGCUCAUAGGAUUCUGUUUUUCGUCCUCCUUUAUCUGAAAAUUUUAUAUAAGAUUUUUAAUUAUACUUUUGUUAGGCACAUUUUGACCUUAGUUCCUGACAGUGGAUCUAUGGCUUGGAGGUAUCUGGGUAGCCUUUUUGGUUCCCGUUGGAAUUUUUCGAGUGUUUUUCAGGUAAGUUUGUUUUCUUGUUAAUGUUUCUAAUUAUUAGUAUCUUCAUUGUAAUUUUUUUUUUUCCAAACUUUUAGGAUACAGGGCUACCAUGGAAUGAUGAUUUAAAAAUUAAAAAUAAAAAUUCAUCACUUGCUUUUCCUUCCCCAAAGAUGCUGGAUUAUAAUUGGUGGGGUUUGGUUAGUUCUGAUGUGAUACCAGUUUGUUUAAGAUUUUACUUUGUGAUUGUAGAAAAUAUGUCUAGAAGCCUUUUCCAAAAAUUUAGUUCUUGUGUUCAUGACCAGUCACCAGAUAGCAUGAAAUUACUGAAUCAUAUGUUGAAGGGAUUGAGAAAUUGGGAUCUCUGGAAAUGUUGUAAUUCUUGUGUCAUAUAUCCUAAUCCAUAUUUUACACAUGAAAACAUGUUGGACUGAGGGUUGUUUUUCACUGGUUAAACAUUGGUUAAUUGUGUGCUAUAUGAAUGGGAUUUGGUUUAGAUUUCCAAAUCCUGCAAACACAAGACCAAACAAUUCAUAUGACAGUUAAGUGAAUCAUGGCACCCAUAUAUGAAAAAGAUUAUGUGCAUGUGUAUGCUGGGGAUUAUGAGUUCUAAUUUGAUUUCUUUAGCCCAUGUUGAGAAAAGAAUGCAUAUCACAUUUCUGGACAUCUACUUUUUUCCUCAGUGACUUAUUAUUAUUUGCAAUUGAAGUUUAGAUUUCAUGAUGUUCAAGGUAUGGAGCUAUUUUCUUGACAUUUACAUGAGAUUUCAUGGAAGCACCAGUAGUUCUGCAUAUUUCUGGUGGGAGUAUGAGUUUUAGUUUCAUUAGUCAUUUCACGUUGGGAAAAGAAAGCCUAUCAUAUUUGGGCAUGGGAUUAGUUUCUUGAGAAAUGGAUUUUUUGAAGUAACAUUUGAGAAUUUUCCAUUAUCUGCUGUAGAUGCUGGUGUGCCAUGGUGCCUGUCCACUGCCAUGCAGAGUAAAGAAGCAUGAUACUAGCUAUUUCUAAUCCGAAGCAUCUAAAUUUUCUUUUAAAAAAAAUAGAAGAAGAAAAGUUAAGAAAAGAAGAGAAAUAUUUCAACAGAUAUGCUAUUCUGUUGAGAUCUGUAUGUGAAGACCUAUUUAUAAUGGUUCCAUUUGUUGCAAUUGAAACUCUCCUAGAAGAAAAAAAGAUGACAGUAUAACAAUACUUCAAAUGGUAGGCAUUUAAUGUAUUUCUUAUCUUUCUCUUGUUCUUUUUUUUUCCGAUAGUAAUAUGAUGUGUUUCUUUGUCUCCAUGCUGAACAAAAAUUGAAGGAAACUACUUCAAUCUGAACUUUUCUAAGAAAAUUAUCCUCUAGAUUGACAAAGACCAUGACACACUUUGGAAAAACUGUGUAUCUAUCUGCCAUCAUAUUAUCUUAAAUAGCAGCUUGUGUAAUGAGGUAACCAGAUGGAACAUGAGGUUUCUCUGAAGAAAUCAUUUUUACUGCACCAAAUGAAGCCACUGGUCAUGCAACAGUUAAACAUUAAAAGAAAAAAAAAAAUAGUCUUAAGGAUACUUGUAACUACCUGCUAUAACUAAAUGUCUCAUUG
rnacentral:lncRNA from 1 species